UACGUAGGGGGCAAGCGUUGUCCGGAUUUAUUGGGCGUAAAGAGCGUGUAGGCGGCCAUGUAGGUCCGUUGUGAAAACUCGAGGCUCAACCUCGAGACGCCGAUGGAAACCAUGUGGCUAGAGUCCGGAAGAGGAGAGUGGAAUUCCUGGUGUAGCGGUGGAAUGCGCAGAUAUCGGGAAGAACACCCGUGGCGAAGGCGGUUCUCUGGGACGGUACUGACGCUGAGACGCGAAAGCGUGGGGAGCGAACAGG
rnacentral:rRNA from 1 species